rnacentral:lncRNA from 1 species
UUCAACCUCGUGGGGCCCCUUACCUACCGAAAGUGCUAGAAAUAAGGCCCAGGCUUACCACAGAUGCAGAGCAGGGUUAGAGCCGCCAGCAGAAGAACGCUGCUCCCUUUCAUGAUGACAGUCACAAGAACUGCUUGGGGGAUACCAGGCUUUUAUGCUGUAGAAGGUGGCACCUUGCCCAGGGGCGGGGCAUACCUCUCAGGACCUGGCAGGACAACUGGGCCAGGCAUGUCACUGUGCUCCAUUAGGUGCCAAGAAGUGCCAAACUUGAGUGGAUCAUAAGGGGGCAGUUGGCAAACAUGUCGGGAAUACUCAUUGUACAGGUGGUCUUGUAGAAGGCUGUAUUCUGAGCCCACCGGUCAUUACCGCCUUCAUGGGAAGCAGCUCUGACUGUUUAUGAAUGAUCCUCAAAAAUACAUAGCUCAUGGAAGAGUAACCAGAUGGGGAACUCCAUCUACUCAGCUCUGGGGAUGUCAGGAUCCAUGCUGGGCAGUGCCUGGUUGGUCAAAUAGCUGUUUGAGUCACCCAUAUUCUUGUGGUGUAGGACCAUGGGCUCAGCAGCAGAGGUACGUGGAACUUCUGAGUCUCCUUUGUAAUAGUGAAAACCACCUGUGAGAAGCAGAGAAGGCAUUUGAGGACACUGAAGAUGGUGAGUCCUUCCUGCAACAGCCCAUGCAGCUACUAGACAGCAGGCGGUCAGGUGCCAUGGCGGCUAAGAAGCGGGAGAUGCUUAUAUAAGAUCUGAUGUUACCGUUUGAAUAGUGUCUCCUACAAGAGAUGUUAGUUGGUGGGCUUUGGGGGACGUGAUUUGACCCUGAGGGCUCUGAUCUGAUUGAAUCAACUGGUUAAACUUUUGGGAUUAACUGGAUCCAUCAUGUGAUACAUCAUUAGUAGGUACUGAAACUUGGAGGAAGGUCCCUGAGUAGAGUCCUAGGGGACUGUGUCUUUCCUUGUGUUUAUUUCUUCUGUUUGUCCCCCCAUGAGGUGACAGUUCUCCUCUUUCAUAUGUCUCCACUGCCAGAGUGAGCGUGUUGAGCCAAGCAAUCAUGGGCUGAGAUAAUGAGAUCGAAUAAAUAAUUCGCCCUUAAGC